GCGAGCGUGGUGAAACUGGUAAACACAGCGGGCUUAAAACCCGUUGACCGCAAGGUCUUACGGGUUCGAGUCCCGUCGCUCGCACCA
rnacentral:tRNA from 1 species